GACAUGCAAGUGGUAGGAAGCCGAAAGGUGACCGACCCUUCGGGAGCUUGCACAGGUGCUGCAUGGCUGUCGUCAGCUCGUGUCGUGAGAUGUUCCGGUUAAGUCCGCUAACGAGCGUCAACCCUCGCUGUGUGUUAUAUGUGGUCACACGGGACUGCCGGUCUUAAGCCGGAGGAAGUGGGGAUGAUGUCAAGUCAGCAUGGCCUUUAUAUCCUGGGCUACACACACGCUACAAUGGCCAACACAAUAGGUUGCUAAGCCGCGAGGUGGCGCCAAUCCAUAAAGUUGGUCUCAGUUCAGAUUGUAGGCUGCAACCCGCCUGCAUGAAGAUGGAGUUGCUAGUAACCGCAGGUCAGCUAUACUGCGGUGAAUACGUUCCCGGGGCUU
rnacentral:rRNA from 1 species